AUGGCCAGCUCAUGUCAACAAUACACAUUUGCUCAGGACUUCAUUCACUCAGGGCUUCUUUGGCUCCCCACAGCAGAAGUUUCCUGCUUACCCUCUGACACUUCUAAUAACUCCAUAAGAAGAUACACUGACCACUCAUCAUCAGAAAAUGAGAGACAUUUGGAGAAUAGCCAUGCCAGUAGAGCCCAGACUGAACUGCCAAGCCUUCAGAUGACCAACAGCCAGAUGAGGUGGUCAUAUCCAAAUCAGGCUUUAGCUGACCAGCUACCAAACAAAAGAAUUCACCUUCCUUUCAGCACUGACAGAAUUUCCAAUUAUGUGAUUGUUGCAAAGAGUCUUGUUAAGUGCUUCAAAGGAGCUCCUUGUCUUGGCUUCCAGAAGUCCAUGGAAAGACGGCACAAAAAUAAAAUAAAGACGGACAACCUGCAAGACAGGAGACAGGAAAGGGCAAUUUGUCUUUAUCCUAGGGCUCUUCAAACACACAUUUAG
rnacentral:lncRNA from 1 species